CCUCAUAUAUAUAGUGGGGGAGAGGGAGGGGCUGAACACACCAAUUCCCAUGCCUCGGAGGCAGUCAUACCUCUCCCAUAACUCUGUUUUCUCCUCAUAUCGGUCUGGCAGCGCUUGCCGAAGCCCUGUGGCACUGCUCCACCAUCAUCUCCACCAUGUCGUCGUGAUGGCUGAGAUCCCAUCUACUUCUCCUUCCUCUCUUGCUGGAUCAAGGAGGAGACGUCAUCAAGCCGUACAUGUGCUAAACGCGAAGGUGUCGUCCGUUCGGCGCUAGAUCGGGGACGGAUCAUGAUGAGAUCACGGAAUGGAUCGUGUUUGGAUCACGAAGACAUUUGACUACAACAACCGCAUUAUAUAUGCUUCCGUAUAGCGAUUUACAAGGGUAUGUAGAUGAACUAUCCCCUCUCGUAGAUGGUCAUCACCAUGGAUAGAUCUUUUGUGCACGUAGGAAAUUAUUUGUUUGCCAUGCG
rnacentral:lncRNA from 1 species